rnacentral:lncRNA from 1 species
UUAAAAGAACAACUUUUCAACAAACAGAGUAUAACCAAAAUAGGUAAUCACACACAAUAACCAACAAACAGAGUAUAACCAAAUUAGGUAUUCACAGACAACACCAGAUGCUCACAUAUACAGAGUCAGAUAAUCACAUACAAUACCGAAGAUAAGGACAGAGUUACCCUCCUUCUUCGCGACCGGAGAAGAUCGGCCUUCAAACAACAGAGAAACCCUAGGUAUUAAACCCUAGGUGUAACCUUGGAAGUGGUUAGGAACGUCGGAGAGGCACCCAAAACGUCCACUGAGUGAGAAUCGAGCCACCGAAAGCAGUAGAACCCUAGGUUAAACGACCAGAAACCCUAGACGCCGAUAGGUCACCGAGAAACCACCCAAUAUCAGCAUAAAAACUCUCAGGAUGUUCGGGUGAAGAGAAUAUACUCAAAUAUCAUGACGAAAAACUCGGAAAAUCAUCCGAUCUAGGUCUAAACCAUCAUCGACCAUAAGGUCUCAGAAAAGCCCUAGAAAAUCUCAAAAAGAGUUCAACCAAGACAACGAGAUGUAGAGAAAUAUAAUCGGAUCGUCGUCUAGGCUCUGAUACCAUGUAAACGUUGAUAUUAGACCGAGAAAUCAUAGAAACUGUAGAGAGAGAAAAUAGAGCGUUUGGAACUCGCUGGAAUCAGAGAGAAAUAUUAUUACAGAACAAAUGAGAG